rnacentral:rRNA from 1 species
AGCUCCAAUAGCGUAUAUUAAAGUUGUUGCAGUUAAAAAGCUCGUAGUUGCAUUUCCGAGGCAAGGGAUUAGUCCGACCUUUGGUGGGUAUUUAAUCCUCUUGCCUCGUCCUUGAGUGGUGCUUCUUGGUAUUAAGUUAUCGAGGAGAUAGCCGCUCAUCGUUUACUGUGAGAAAAUUAGAGUGUUCAAAGCAGGCUUAUGCCGUUGAAUAUAUUAGCAUGGAAUAAUAAGAUAGGACCGCGGUACUAUUUUGUUGGUUUGAGAACCAAGGUAAUGAUGAAUAGGGACAGUUGGGGGUAUUCGUAUUCAGUUGUCAGAGGUGAAAUUCUUAGAUUUACGGAAGACGAACUACUGCGAAAGCAUUUACCAAGGAUGUUUUCA